rnacentral:rRNA from 1 species
GAAUGAACGCUGGCGGCAGGCUUACACAUGCAAGUCGAACGGAAACGAUGAAAAGCUUGCUUUUCAGGCGUCGAGUGGCGGACGGGUGAGUAACGCGUGGGAACCUACCUUAGUGUUGGGGACAACAUAUGGAAACGUAUGCUAAUACCGAAUACGCUCUACGGAGUAAAGAUGCCCACUUCUUGAAAGGUAUCGCACUAAGAUGGGCCCGCGUGAGAUUAGCUAGUUGGUAGGGUAAAGGCCUACCAAGGCGACGAUCUCUAGCUGGUUUGAGAGGAUGAUCAGCCACACUGGGACUGAGACACGGCCCAGACUCCUACGGGAGGCAGCAGUGGGGAAUAUUGCACAAUGAGGGAAACCUUGAUGCAGCCAUGCCGCGUGUGUGAAGAAGGCCCGAGGGUUGUAAAGCACUUUCAUUAGCGAGGAAAGCUAAGUAGUUAAUACCUGCUUAGUGUGACGUUAACUAAAGAAGAAGCACCGGCUAACUCUGUGCCAGCAGCCGCGGUAAUACAGAGGGUGCAAGCGUUAUUCGGAAUUACUGGGCGUAAAGCGCGCGUAGGCGGAUAAUUAAGUCAGUUGUGAAAGCCCUGGGCUCAACCUAGGAACUGCAUCUGAUACUGGUUAUCUAGAGUUUAAGAGAGGGAAGGGGAAUUCCAGGUGUAGCAGUGAAAUGCGUAGAUAUCUGGAGGAACAUCAGUGGCGAAGGCGCCUUCCUGGCUUAAAACUGACGCUGAGGUGCGAAAGCGUGGGUAGCGAACGGGAUUAGAUACCCCGGUAGUCCACGCCGUAAACGAUGUCAACUAGCUGUUGGUCUUAUUAAAAAGAUUAGUAGCGUAGCUAACGCGAUAAGUUGACCGCCUGGGGAGUACGGUCGCAAGAUUAAAACUCAAAGGAAUUGACGGGGGCCCGCACAAGCGGUGGGGCAUGUGGUUUUAAUUCGAUGCAACGCGAAGAACCUUACCAUCCCUUGACAUGUAGCGAAUUUUCCAGAGAUGGAUUAGGCCUUCGGGACGUAACACAGGUGCUGCAUGGCGUCGUCAGCUCGUGUCGUGAGAUGUUGGGUUAAGUCCCGCAACGAGCGCAACCCUAUCAUUAGUUGUACCAUUUAGUUGAGACUUAAUGAGACUGCCGGUGAUAAACCGGAGGAAGGCGGGGACGACGUCAAGUCAUCAUGGCCCUUAUGGGAUGGGUACACACGUGCUACAAUGGGAGGUACAAAGAGCAGCCAACUGGCAACAGUGCGCGAUCUCAAAAACCUCUCGUAGUCCGGAUNNUGGAGUCUGCAACUCGACUCCAUGAAGUCGGAAUCGCUAGUAAUCGUGAAUCAGAUGUCACGUGAUACGAUCCCGGCAUUGACAACCCCCUACAGGCGAUUUCGCCGAAUUGGAAACACCGNNNNUUUUUUUUCUUAUUUUUUUUUCUUUUUUUUUUUUUUUUUUUUUUUUU